AUUGGCACUCCGCUGAUUUGGUG
rnacentral:miRNA from 1 species